AUCUCUUCGGGGACAUCUAUUAAUAUUGGAACAACAUAGAGAAGAUUAGCAUGAUCCCUGCGAAAAAUAGUUACUAUUGUUAAAAAAUAUAUCAAUUGGCA